rnacentral:rRNA from 1 species
GUGCCAGCAGCCGCGGUAAUACGUAAGUGGCAAGCGUUAUCCGGAAUCACUGGGUGUAAAGGGUGUGUAGGCGGUAAUUUAAGUUUCGCGUUUAAAAUCAGGGCUCAACCCCGACAUGGCGCGAAAUACUGAAUUGCUUGAGUGACGAAGAGGAAGUUGGAACUCCAGGUGAAGCGGUGAAAUGUGUAGAUAUCUGGGGGAACACCAAUGGCGAAGGCAGGCUUCUGGUCGUCAACUGACGCUGAGACACGAAAGCGUGGGGAGCAAACAGGAUUAGAUACCCCGGUAGUCCUAGCCCUAAACGAUGGGCACUUGGUGUCGGGGGUAUUGAGUCCCCCGGUGCCGGAGUUAACACGUUAAGUGCCCCGCCUGGGGGAGUACGGUCGCAAGACUGAAACUCAAAGGAAUUGACGGGGGCCCGCACAAGCGGUGGAGCAUGUGGUUCAAUUCGACGCAACGCGAAGAACCUUACCGGGGCUCGAACGGCAACUGCUACUCCUGGGAAACAGGAGAUUCUCUUCGGAGACGGUUGUCGAGGUGCUGCAUGGCUGUCGUCAGCUCGUGUCGUGAGAUGUUGGGUUAAGUCCCGCAACGAGCGCAACCCUUACCCUUAGUUGCCAUCAGGUCAAGCUGGGCACCCUAAGGGAACUGUCGGCGAGAAGCCGGAGGAAGGUGGGGGAUGACGUCAAGUCCUCAUGGCCCUUACGUCCCGGGCUACACACGUGCUACAAUGGUCGGUACAAAGGGUUGCCAACCUGCGAAGGGGAGCUAAUCCCAAAAAGCCGACCCCAGUUCGGAUUGCAGUCUGCAACUCGACUGCA